UAGUGUUACAGCUCUUAAAAUUUGUCUUGCAGGCUUUCCAGUUUUUGCCAGAAAGCUCUU
rnacentral:snRNA from 1 species